AAUAGAUACCCCGGUAGUCCAUGCCGUAAACGAUGGAUGCUAGCUGUAUGGAGUAUCGACCCUCUAUGUAGCGAAGCUAACGCGUUAAGCAUCCCGCCUGUGGAGUACGAGCGCAAGCUUAAAACAUAAAGGAAUUGACGGGGACCCGCACAAGCGGUGGAGCGUGUUGUUUAAUUCGAUGAUAAGCGAAGAACCUUACCCAGGCUUGACAUCCUUGGAAGGCCUACGAAAGUAGACUGUGCCUUUUGGAGCCAAGUGACAGGUGUUGCAUGGCCGUCGUCAGCUCGUGUCGUGAGAUGUUUGGUUAAGUCCAUCAACGAGCGCAACCCUUAUAGUUAGUUGUAUUUUUCUAGCUAGACUGCCCCGGUAACGGGGAGGAAGGGGGGAUGAUGUCAGGUCAGUAUUACCCUUACGUCUGGGGCUACAAACACGCUACAAUGGCCGGUACAAAGGGCAGCCAACCCGCGAGGGGGAGCUAAUCCCAUCAAAGCCGGUCUCAGUUCGGAUAGCAGGCUGAAACUCGCCUGCUUGAAGCUGG
rnacentral:rRNA from 1 species